CCAGACUCCUACGGGAGGCAGCAGUGGGGAAUAUUGCACAAUGGGGGAAACCCUGAUGCAGCGACGCCGCGUGAAGGAAGAAGUAUUUCGGUAUGUAAACUUCUAUCAGCAGGGAAGAAGCAAGACGGUACCUGACUAAGAAGCCCCGGCUAACUACGUGCCAGCAGCCGCGGUAAUACGUAGGGGGCGAGCGUUAUCCGGAUUCACUGGGUGUAAAGGGAGCGUAGACGGCCAUGCAAGCCAGGGGUGAAAGCCCGGGGCCCAACCCCGGGACUGCCCUUGGAACUGUGCGGCUAGAGUGCGGGAGGGGCAGGCGGAAUUCCUGGUGUAGCGGUGAAAUGCGUAGAUAUCAGGAGGAACACCGGCGGCGAAGGCGGCCUGCUGGACCGCGACUGACGUUGAGGCUCGAAAGCGUGGGGAGCGAACAGGAUUAGAUACCCGUGUAAG
rnacentral:rRNA from 1 species